AGAAGAAUCUUACAUUGUGAAUCCCGUUACUUCGAAAAUCCUCUCCCAGAUGCGUCUUGCUUUUGAACAGUUGAUGAAAAGGUGGUUGAUGCUUUCGACGUCUGUCUUACAAAGGGCACACCCAUUUGGAUUGAGGUGGUUGAAUGGUGUCUGUCGAGGAUUUGGGAAUUGGAAGCCACUUUCUUUGAAAAUAACACUCUCUUAGCAGAAGCAGUCAAGAAGGAUCCACUACUGCAUAAAGACCAGAUAAGUUUACUCUUUCCAGCAUUUAAAUUAAUGUUAGGAAAAGAAUUUGAGAUAGAAUCCCAUGUAUAAGUUUCUCUUUGAUUCAUUUGUCUUCUGGGCUGCAAAUUUCAUUUGUUUGUAUUUUGAUCCCAAAUAUCUUUGACCGAUGCAUAUUGGUACUGAGCUAGAGCAUAUAGCCUUGCAUAUUUGUUAGAUAGAGGGAUGUUAUCACACCAGUUGCUAUGCCAGAAAGAGAGAUUUUCUCUACUGUUAAUUUUUCAAAUAGCUUUUGAGUCGAACCAAUCAAUCCUUUUUAUGAUAGACCUCCAAGGUUCUUUUGUUGAGUUGUACUUUCUAUUUCUUGGGGUGUCACCAUCAAAUCUUUUUUUGUAUUUUGCAUCAUGACCUUUGUCCAAAGUCUAUUUGGUUCUUGGUGAUAUCUCUAGAUCCACUUUGUUGGGAGGGCGUGGUUUAUAUUUCUAAUUUUGGAACUUCCCAAGCCCCCUUUUUUCUCUGAUGAGGUACAAAGAUUCAAGUUAACCAGAUAAUUUCUAGAAUCGAAGUUGUUUCCUUUCCAAAGGUAGUUUCUCUACACUCUUUCAAUCUCUUUACCAAUCUGAAUAGGAGCUCCAAAUAGAGAUAGGAGAUAAGUAGGUGUACUGGCAAGAGAGGAGUUAAGGAGAGUUAAUCUACCCCCUUUGGAUACUUGAGUAUAUUUCCAUCCAGUGAGUUUCUUUUGAAUUUUUUCAACUGUAUUUGACCAGAAAGCCUUUUAUUGCGUUUUUCCACCUAGAGGGGUUCCCAAGAAGUCAAUGGGGAAAUUAUGUGAAUUGAAGCCCCAAAAAUCUGAAACUACCGUUGUUCUCACUUGGUCAACAUUGAUAGGGCUUAUGGAGGAUUUAGUUGUGUUCAUUUUGAGGCCUGAGACCAUUUCAAAGAUCUUAAUGGCCAUCUUGAAAUUUUCCAUAAAUCUGUCAUUGUCCUCCACAAAAAUGAGUAUGUCAUCUGCAAAUAAUAGAUGAAUGAGACUACAUAAAGCAUCGAAGGUCACACCCUUUAUAGAACCCCUUUCCUCUAAAGUGUUAAGUAGUCUGCUCAGGUAGUCUAGAGGCAGAACAAAUAAGAAGAGGGAUAUUGGAUCUCCUUGACGAAUUUCUCUAGUCGAUUUGAAUCUACCAUGAGGUUUGCCAUUUAUUAAGAUAGAGUAAUGUACACUGCUAAUGCAAGCCUUAAUCCAUUUCCUUUAUCUGUUAAGGUAGCCUUUCAUUUUCAGCAUAAAUUCAAUAAAGUGUCAGUUGAUGGUAUCGAAAGCUUUCUCAAUAUCAAGCUUCAUGAUGAAACCUCUAACCAUGGUGAUUCUCCAGAAAUCUAUGGCUUCAUUAGCAAUCCAUAUAGCAUCUGUGAUCUGUCUAUUGUUGACAAAAGCCAUUUGGUUUUCUACAAUUGUUUCUUCCAAUGUGGACUUGAAUCUGGUAGCCAAUGUUUUUGCUAUGAUUUUGUAUAGAGAUGUGGUGAGUCUGAUCGGCCUAUAGUCUGUGGUCAUCUUACACUUGCUUUUCUUUCCAAUCAGAACUAGAUAUGUGUUGUUUACAUCAUUUGUUGAUGAUGUUAUUUCUAUAAAAGUCAUGGAACACUUCCAUAACAUCGUUUUUGAUUAGUUGCCAAUUUUGUUUAUAGAAAGAUAUAGUGAAGCCAUUCGGGCCUGGUGACUUCCCAUUGCCAAGGGAGUCAAUGGUUUUCUUGACUUCAUCUUCUUUGAACUUAGCACAUAAUCUUUUGUGAUGUCUGGUGUUAAUAGGGCACCAAUUUAGAUUGUUAAUCCAUAGAGUUUCCCUCCUUGCAUCUUUGAAAAGGAGUUGGUAGUGAUUGAUAAAGGCUUCCGCAAUUGCUUGUGAAGUGGUAUAUUUGUAUCCCUUUGAGUGUUCGAUCUCAGUGAUAAGGCUCUUUCUUUGGUAGAUUGAGUAGAUCUUAUGGAAGUAUGUUGUAUUCUGAUCACCUUCCAUAAGCCUGUUCUUUCUAGCCCUUUGGGCCCAAACCUAGGAUUGAAAUGCUUCUAGAUUGCCAACAUCACAUUUGAGAGCCAGUCUUUUGGAGUGGUGCACCGCAUUCAUGUUGAUUUUCGAUUCCAAUUUGUCAAUUGAUUCUAUUUCGGAAAUUAGGAUCUUCCUGGUUUCAAUUUGGCUGCUUAGAGUUCUUUUCUGCCAGGCUCUUAUUUCCUUAGCCAACCACUUAAGUCUUUGAGUAAAGUGAUAACCUGUUUUUCCAUUUUGUAUUGAUCCCUGCCACUAAUGCUUUAUAUUUGUUCUGAAAUCUGACUGCCUUAUAGAAGUAUUAUCAAGUCUGAAUGGACAAGGGUCCCAACUGAUUUGGUUUGCUUCAAGUACUAUGGGGUAAUGGUCUGAUACCGCUCUAAGCAAAGUUCUGGAGCUGUGCUGAUCGUUUUUUUUUCCUAUGAGCCCGUAUAGAAAACCCAUCUAAUCUUGAUAGAGUAGGGUUAACUCUAAGAUUUGACCAUGUGAAGGAGUUAUUUGAUAGAGGUGGGUCAAUUAGUGAAUUCCUAUGAAUAAAAUUGUUGAAUUUAUCCAUAGCUCUCCUGUCUAAGUGCUUUGCAUUCGUUUCUUCCUUCCAUCUUACCAUGUUAAAGUCUUCUGCUAUCAGCCAAUUUAGGUUCCAAGAAUUCUGUAGCAUCUCGAGUUCCAUCCAAAAGCUUUCCCUAUCAGUGUUAUUUGAAGGUCCGUAAACUGCUGAGAGCCACCAAGUAAAACCAUCCUUGUUUUCAACCUGAAUAGAGAUGUUGAAUUUUCCUUUGACCGAGUUUAUCAGUUUGAAGUUGAUAUCAUUCCAUAAAAUUAAGAUCCCCCCUAAUGUACCAGUAGUGUCUAAAGCAAUCAUAUUUUUUUAGGGGAGUGACCAGAUAGAGUUUGCAAUGUGAGUAUACAGAGAUGAAAUUUUGGUUUCAAUUAUAAUGAUGAAGUCAGGUGUACAGUUGGAAAUUAGUUUAAUUAUAUGGGCUCUCUUAAGGGGGGAACCCAACCCUCUUACAUUCCAACAUAAUAACUUCAUGUAAGAUUGGUAUCUCCCUUAGGCUCCUCACCAGGAGUGACUGGAACAUUGUCAAUAACCACAUAUGAAAAGUUAUCCAUGUUAAUCGAAUAUUUUGAGGAUAGCUUUAAUUCAUUCUCUUUGAGCCAUUCAACCAGCUUUUGUUUGAACAAGUUUUCAUCAUGUUCUGUGUUGUGACCUUUCAACGGUUCACUAGGUUCUCCUUUAUAGUGUGUGCUCUUCUGAUCUUUGGUUGUAGGCUGGUAUUUGAACCAUUUUGAGAAUCAAUCAAUUGAGUUUGCUCAAUGAAAUGUUCAUUUAUCUUCUCUAUUUGUUCAAGACUAUUGAGGUCAUCAGAAUUAUAGCUUUUAUCCAUGAUAGAUAGUGAACCCAGGUUGAUUUCUAGAUUAAAUCCUUCAUUUCUAUCAGCUUUCACAAUUAGAGAUUGAAUCUGUGGUUUCUGUGAGCUGGUUGCUUGUUGACCUUUGACUCAAUAGCAUUUUUUUUAGGACCUUUUUGAAGUGGUGUCUCUUGUUUCAGAGGAGAUCAUCUAUUGAUCUUCUUGUGGACUAUUUAAUUUGCUUCGUUUUCUACUUUCCUUGGCAGAGCUGUAAGAAUGUAGAGACUGCGGAGAUGAGAAUGAGACUUUCCUUCUUAAGGAUUUUCUUUGAUUUUUAUCAUAAAUGUUCAUAAUUGAUUUUCCUUUCUCUCUCCUUUUUCUGCUCAAAAUUGAAUCAAAGAAAUUAAAAUCAGAACAAGAUGAGUUAUAAUCCUUGGUUCUUGUGUGAUUUGCUUCUAUUGCAUUAAUGAUAUUAGUGAAGUUGCCUUGAAGUUUUUCUCCUAAGUUUUUCGAUGGUAUGGCAUGAAAUCCGACAAAUCUGAACGUUUCUAAAAAGAAGUUGAAUUCAUCUAAGUCCCUUGUAGCUUCACUUCUGAAAGUACCAUGUAUUCUCACAUUUCUUUCAAUUAACCAUCUGUUUUUUGGUGGAGGGACUAUUUGUAUAAUGUGUACCUGUCCAAAGUCAUCUUUGAUUUGUAUGGAGGCUGGUACAAAACCUGAGUAGUUAUAUUUUACUUUAACUUUUUCUUCUACUAGAUUCUCCAUGUUUAGCGUUUCUUUUGCAACGUCGAUGAAUCCCCCACAAGCAUUUCCAAUGUUGACAAAACUCUCUAGAUUCCAUAGAUGUAAAGGUAUACCUCUGAAUCUAAGCCAUCCUCCGUAGCUAGGGAUAAGUAGGGGUGAGGCAUGUUUAGUUGGUUCCCAUCUUUCAAAUUUGACAGUGUUUACCUACAGUGGACCAUCCUGUUUCACUAUUGUUGCUGCAGAUGAGGGAGGCCAGCUCGACAUCAAGAAAAAUGAUGGCUUUAUUCGAAUGGAAAGGCUUAUAGGAGAAUUCGUAUUCUGUUUGCCUCUUUAGGAGAACAUGAUCUUGCUCCAGUCAUCAUGGAAAUACCUUUUGGUGAUAAUCACAGCAUCUUUCAGAUUCAAUGGUCCUUGAGAAUGACCCUUCCUUUUGUUUUCAAAAGCAGGAUGUUGUUUGCUUGAGCUCUUAUCAGAUGAACAUUUGCUUCUUUUUUUUUCAUCCUCAUUGUUGUCUAAUAGAACCUCUGCAUAUGACUUCUUUGGUGUUUCAAAAUCCGAUGAUGAGAUGUGAUGAGCUUCAAUGGAUUUGCUUAGAGAAGAGCGUGGCCUCUUUAGUAUCCAAUCGGGUGUGAAUGUGAUGAAUGACAGAAAGGUUUUCCAACCUUUUUUAUCUGCACCUUCAGCAUACCUCUUUUCAGUGAAGAAGUCUUUGUUAGUGGGGUUCUCUAUCAACUACUUAAAGCUUUUUCUGAUCUAGUCAAGCGUUUUCGGCGUGAUGUCCAUUGAGAAACUCUUGUGAUGGCCCACCUCUAUUAUCCACAUCUUAAGGAACUUUCUUACUGUCUAGGAAAAGAAUAAAUUAUUUCCUAUCGAUUUGGCAGGUUUUGGGAAGCUGCUUGAUGAACGACAUUUCUGUUGCUUUGUUAGUAAAGUAAAGGAAUGUGUAGUGUACUGUUUUUUAGAAAGAUCUGCUGUUUAAGUUGCAUGUAGAUGUCCUUAAAAAGGAAAUGGUACUUGCAGUAGGUAGUUUCAAUAACUAGUACUUCAAUGAUUUGUAAGAAAAAACGGUUGUUGUCACUUGUAGAGAAUGAAUGAAGAAUGACUGAUUGUUGAGAACUAA